rnacentral:rRNA from 1 species
GUGGAUUAGAUACCCUGGUAGUCCACGCUGUAAACGAUGAGUGCUAGGCGUCGGCACGCUUGCGUGUCGGUGCCGCAGCUAACGCGUGAAGCACUCCGCCUGGGGAGUACGGUCGCAAGAUUAAAACUCAAAGGAAUUGACGGGGGCCCGCACAAGCGGUGGAGCAUGUGGUUUAAUUCGACGCAACGCGCAGAACCUUACCAGCCCUUGACAUGCCGUGCUACUCACAGAGAUGUGGGGUCCCCGCAAGGGGCGCGGACACAGGUGCUGCACGGCCGUCGUCAGCU